rnacentral:rRNA from 1 species
GACGAACGCUGGCGGCGUGCUUAACACAUGCAAGUCGAACGGAAAGACCCUGCUUUUGGGGGGUUCUCGAGUGGCGCACGGGUGUGUAACACGUGAGUAACCUGCCCUUGACUUGGGGAUAACUUCGGGAAACUGGGUCUAAUACCGGAUAGGAGCUCCUGCUGCAUGGUGGGGGGUGGAAAGUUUCGGCGGUUGGGGAUGGACUCGCGGCUUAUCAGCUUGUUGGUGGGGUAGUGUCUUACCAAGGCUUUGACGGGCAGCCGGCCUGAGAGGGUGACCGGCCACAUUGGGACUGAGAUACGGCCCAGAAUCCUACGGGAGGCAGCAGUGGGGAAUAUUGAACAAUGGGCGGAAGCCUGAUGCAGCAACGCCGCGUGCGGGAUGACGGCCUUAGGGUUGUAAACCGCUUUCGCCUGUGACGAAGCGUGAGUGACGGUAAUGGGUAAAGAAGCACCGGCUAACUACGUG